UACGUAGGGUGCGAGCGUUAAUCGGACUUACUGGGCGUAAAGCGUGCGCAGGCGGUUCGCUAGGACCGAUGUGAAAUCCCCGGGCUUAACCUGGGAACUGCAUUGGUGACUGGCGGGCUAGAGUAUGGCAGAGGGGGGUAGAAUUCCACGUGUAGCAGUGAAAUGCGUAGAGAUGUGGAGGAAUACCGAUGGCGAAGGCAGCCCCCUGGGCCAAUACUGACGCUCAUGCACGAAAGCGUGGGGAGCAAACAGG
rnacentral:rRNA from 1 species